rnacentral:rRNA from 1 species
UUAGUCCUACGGGGGGCAGCAGUGGGGAAUAUUGCGCAAUGGGCGAAAGCCUGACGCAGCGACGCCGCGUGAGGGAUGAAGGUCUUCGGAUCGUAAACCUCUGUCAGCAGGGAAGAACGGUCACUGUGCUAAUCAGCAGUGAAUUGACGGUACCUGCAAAGGAAGCACCGGCUAACUCCGUGCCAGCAGCCGCGGUAAUACGGAGGAUGCGAGCGUUAUCCGGAUUUAUUGGGUUUAAAGGGUGCGUAGGCGGAUCGUUAAGUCAGUGGUCAAAUUGAGGGGCUCAACCCCUUCCCGCCAUUGAA